UGUGGCCAAGUUUUUAAGGGCGCACGGUGGAUGCCUUGGCACCAGGAACCGAUGAAGGACGUGGGAGGCCACGAUAGGCCCCGGGGAGCUGUCAACCGAGCUUUGAUCCGGGGGUGUCCGAAUGGGGAAACCCGGCAGUCGUCAUGGGCUGUCACCCGCUGCUGAACACAUAGGCAGUGUGGAGGGAACGAGGGGAAGUGAAACAUCUCAGUACCCUCAGGAAGAGAAAACAACCGUGAUUCCGGGAGUAGUGGCGAGCGAAACUGGAUGAGGCCAAACCGUAUGCGUGUGAUACCCGGCAGGGGUUGCGCAUGCGGGGUUGUGGGAUCUCUCUUUUGCGGUCUGCCGGCCGUGAGACGAGUCAGAAACCGUUGAUGUAGGCGAAGGACAUGCGAAAGGUCCGGCGUAGAGGGUAAGACCCCCGUAGCUGAAACAUUGACGGCUCGUUUGAGAGACACCCAAGUAGCACGGGGCCCGAGAAAUCCCGUGUGAAUCUGGCGGGACCACCCGCUAAGCCUAAAUAUUCCCUGGUGACCGAUAGCGGAUAGUACCGUGAGGGAAUGGUGAAAAGUACCGCGGGAGCGGAGUGAAAUAGUACCUGAAACCGUGUGCCUACAAGCCGUGGGAGCGUCGCGCAUCGAGCUUGCUCGGUGCGUCGUGACUGCGUGCCUUUUGAAGAAUGAGCCUGCGAGUUUGCGGUGUGUUGCGAGGUUAACCCGUGUGGGGAAGCCGUAGCGAAAGCGAGUCCGAAUAGGGCGUUUUAGUAGCACGCUCAAGACCCGAAGCGGAGUGAUCUAGCCAUGGGCAGGUUGAAGCGGAGGUAAGACUUCGUGGAGGACCGAACCCACCAGGGUUGAAAACCUGGGGGAUGACCUGUGGUUAGGGGUGAAAGGCCAAUCAAACUCCGUGAUAGCUGGUUCUCCCCGAAAUGCAUUUAGGUGCAGCGUCGUGUGUUUCUUGCCGGAGGUAGAGCACUGGAUAGGCGAUGGGCCCUACCGGGUUACUGACCUUAGCCAAACUCCGAAUGCCGGUAAGUGAGAGCGCGGCAGUGAGACUGUGGGGGAUAAGCUCCAUGGUCGAGAGGGAAACAGCCCAGAGCAUCGACUAAGGCCCCUAAGCGUACGCUAAGUGGGAAAGGAUGUGGAGUCGCAGAGACAACCAGGAGGUUGGCUUAGAAGCAGCCACCCUUGAAAGAGUGCGUAAUAGCUCACUGGUCAAGUGAUUCCGCGCCGACAAUGUAGCGGGGCUCAAGCGUACCGCCGAAGUCGUGUCAUUCC
rnacentral:rRNA from 1 species